rnacentral:rRNA from 1 species
UACGUAGGGGGCCAGCGUUGUCCGAAGUUACUGGGCGUAAAGAGCGCGUAGGCGGGCCCUUAAGUGGGGGGUGAAAGGUUGGGGUCAUCAUCCAGAACUGCCUUCGAUACUGGAAGACUUGAGUCCGGGAGAGGUGAGUGGAACUGCGAGUGUAGAGGUGAAAUUCGUAGAUAUUCGCAAGAACACCAGUGGCGAAGGCGGCUCACUGGCCCGGUACUGACGCUGAGGUGCGAAAGCGUGGGGAGCAAACAGG